CCUACGGGAGGCAGCAGUGGGGAAUAUUGGACAAUGGGGGGAACCCUGAUCCAGCGACGCCGCGUGAGUGAAGAAGUAUUUCGGUAGGUAAAGCUCUAUCAGAAGGGAAGAAAGAAAUGACGGUACCUGACUAAGAAGCCCCGGCUAACUACGUGCCAGCAGCCGCGGUAAUACGGAGGGGGCAAGCGUUAUCCGGAUUUACUGGGUGUAAAGGGAGCGUAGACGGCAAGGCAAGCCAGAAGUGAAAGGGCAGGGCUCAACCCUGUACAUGCUUUUGGAACGGUGGUGCUAGAGUGCAGGAGAGGUAAGUGGAAUUCCUAGUGUAGCGGUGAAAUGCGUAGAUAUUAGGAGGAACACCAGUGGCGAAGGCGGCUUACUGUACUGUAACUGACGUUGAGGCUCGAAAGCGUGGGGAGCAAACAGGAUUAGAUACCCUUGUAGUC
rnacentral:rRNA from 1 species